AGUGAACGCUGGCGGUAGGCCUAACACAUGCAAGUCGAACGGCAGCACAGGAGAGCUUGCUCUCUGGGUGGCGAGUGGCGGACGGGUGAGGAAUACAUCGGAAUCGACUUUUGCGUGGGGGAUAACGUAGGGAAACUUACGCUAAUACCGCAUACGACCUACGGGUGAAAGCAGGGGAACUUCGGGCCUUGCGCGAUUGAAUGAGCCGAUGUCGGUUUAGCUAGUUGGCGGGGUAAAGGCCCACCAAGGCGACGAUCCGUAGCUGGUCUGAGGGGAUGAUCAGCCACACUGGAACUGAGACACGGUCCAGACUCCUACGGGAGGCAGCAGUGGGGAAUAUUGGACAAUGGGCGCAAGCCUGAUCCAGCCAUACCGCGUGGGUGAAGAAGGCCUUCGGGUUGUAAAGCCCUUUUGUUGGGAAAGAAAUCCAGCUGGCUAAUACCCGGUUGGGAUGACGGUACCCAAAGAAUAAGCACCGGCUAACUUCGUGCCAGCCGCCGCAGUAA
rnacentral:rRNA from 1 species